CAGAAGGGAGCUUGCUCCCGGAUGUUAGCGGCGGACGGGUGAGUAACACGUGGGUAACCUGCCUGUAAGACUGGGAUAACUCCGGGAAACCGGAGCUAAUACCGGAUAGUUCCUUGAACCGCAUGGUUCAAGGAUGAAAGACGGUUUCGGCUGUCACUUACAGAUGGACCCGCGGCGCAUUAGCUAGUUGGUGGGGUAAUGGCUCACCAAGGCGACGAUGCGUAGCCGACCUGAGAGGGUGAUCGGCCACACUGGGACUGAGACACGGCCCAGACUCCUACGGGAGGCAGCAGUAGGGAAUCUUCCGCAAUGGACGAAAGUCUGACGGAGCAACGCCGCGUGAGUGAUGAAGGUUUUCGGAUCGUAAAGCUCUGUUGUUAGGGAAGAACAAGUGCGAGAGUAACUGCUCGCACCUUGACGGUACCUAACCAGAAAGCCACGGCUAACUACGUGCCAGCA
rnacentral:rRNA from 2 species